AUAUCAAUAAGCGGAGGAAAAGAAACCAACAGGGAUUGCCCUAGUAACGGCGAGUGAAGCGGCAACAGCUCAAAUUUGAAAUCUGGCUUUCGGGCCCGAGUUGUAAUUUGUAGAGGAUACUUUUGAUGCGGUGCCUUCCGAGUUCCCUGGAACGGGACGCCAUAGAGGGUGAGAGCCCCGUCUGGUUGGAUGCCAAAUCUCUGUAAAGUUCCUUCGACGAGUCGAGUAGUUUGGGAAUGCUGCUCUAAAUGGGAGGUAUAUGUCUUCUAAAGCUAAAUAUUGGCCAGAGACCGAUAGCGCACAAGUAGAGUGAUCGAAAGAUGAAAAGCACUUUGAAAAGAGAGUUAAAAAGUACGUGAAAUUGUUGAAAGGGAAGCGUUUAUGACCAGACUUGGACUUGGUUAAUCAUCUGGGGUUCUCUCCAGUGCACUUUUCCAGUUCAGGCCAGCAUCAGUUUUCGCCGGGGGAUAAAGGCAGCGGGAAUGUGGCUCUCUUCGGGGAGUGUUAUAGCCCGCUGUGUAAUACCCUGGUGGGGACUGAGGUUCGCGCUUCUGCAAGGAUGCUGGCGUAAUGGUCAUCAACGA
rnacentral:rRNA from 1 species